rnacentral:rRNA from 1 species
GAUGAACGCUGGCGGCGUGCCUAAUACAUGCAAGUCGAGCGAACGGACGAGAAGCUUGCUUCUCUGAUGUUAGCGGCGCACGGGUGAGUAACACGUGGAUCACCUCCCUAUAAGACUGGGAUAACUUCGGGAAACCGGAGCUAAUCCCGGAUAAUAUUUUGAUCCGCAUGGUUCAAAAGUGACAGACGGUCUUGCUGUCACUUAUAGAUGGUUCCGCGCUGCAUUAGCUAGUUGGUAAGGUAACGGCUUACCAAGGCAACGAUGCCUAGCCGACCUGAGAGGGUGAUCGGCCACACUGGAACUGGAACACGGUCCAGACUCCUACGGGAGGCAGCAGUAGGGAAUCUUCCGCAAUGGGCGGAAGCCUGACGGAGCAACGCCGCGUGAGUGAUGACGGUCUUCGGAUCGUAAAACUCUGUUAUUAGGGGAGAACAUAUGUGUAAGUGACUGUGCAGAUCUUGACGGUACCUAAUCAGAAAGCCACGGCUAACUACAUG